UACGUAGGGGGCAAGCGUUGUCCGGAAUUACUGGGCGUAAAGGGCUCGUAGGUGGCCAACUAAGUCAGACGUGAAAUCCCUCGGCUUAACCGGGGAACUGCGUCUGAUACUGGAUGGCUUGAGUUCGGGAGAGGGAUGCGGAAUUCCAGGUGUAGCGGUGAAAUGCGUAGAUAUUGGGAGGAACACCAGUGGCGAAGGCGGCUCACUGGACCGGAACUGACGCUGAGGCGCGAAAGCGUGGGGAGCAAACAGG
rnacentral:rRNA from 1 species